ACUGCCCCCACUACAACAAAUACAUGUAAUUUGGUGCUUAAAUGUUUUUGAAAUACUGCAGAAUUACAUUCAUUCCUAUGGAGGACUGGGCCUUCCGAGGAGCACCAAUAUGGAGGCCGGUGGCUUCAAAGCCUCAUUAGCUACAUCGCAUUAACACAAGCUAGUGUUUAUAGACGUCAUUGGUUUCCAUUCAUAUGAACCGCAAUCAAAGACGAGACAUUGGAAAUUGCUAGUUCAUAUCUGGUUACACCGCUGAUGGAUUUUACGCCAAGAUCGCUAACGAGUGAGAAAAUGCAGAACAUCAGCAGGAGCCAGUUGUGCAGGAGAAGGGGAAACCGAUGACUCCUCCCAGAAACCCUCACAUUGCUCUUCUGGCUGCUACUCUGUCAUAUGUGACCCUGCUACAACACGAUCACCACGCCAGCGAGGUGAACCAUAAGGUCACACAGUGGUGGGAAAAGUACUCGAUUGUCAUACUUGAGUAAAAGUAAAGAUACCUUAAUAGAAAAUGACUCAAGGGGAAGUAAAAAGUACAUCAAUGUUUUUUAGGAAUGUAGUGAAGUAAAAUUAAUGUACAGAUAUCCCCAGAAACUACUUAAAUAGUACUUUAAAGUAUUUUUACUUAAGCAACUUUACACCACUGAGGUCACAGUCCAUAACAGUCCUUAUUUAUUGAAUACCCUCAGAUCUUUUUUUUGUUGCUACAUGUACUGUAUCUAAAUUUAACUUAAGUUGAGCUGUUUCUUAAUAAGUUGUACAACUGCCUAGACACACCCUGCAGGAUCUGGUUUCCUCCUUCCAGAGGACAAAUAAACAACCCAGAAUUCCCAGGAACUGAAGAAAGAACAAAAUACUAAACCGAGGAACUUUCCUCCAAGGAACUAUCAUCAAUAUGUAUAUCAUCAUUGACACCCACUUUUCCACAAUUCCAGAAUUUAUAUUAAGGACACACUGUUGUUGAACUGUAUUGUUGAACUGUAUUGUUAUUGUUGAACUGUAUUGUUGAACUGUAUUGUUGAACAGUAUUGUUAUUGUUGAACUGUGUUGUUGAACUGUAUUGUUUAACUUCUCUAUGUGUUUUCUAAGAUGAAUGAAAGUCUCUGUUUCAUAUGAA